rnacentral:rRNA from 1 species
UCUUCCGCAAUGGACGAAAGUCUGACGGAGCGACGCCGCGUGAGUGAUGAAGGUAUUCGGGUCGUAAAACUCUGUUGUUAGGGAAGAACAAGUACGGGCCGAAUAGGUAAGUACCUUGACGGUACCUAACCAGAAAGCCCCGCCUAACUACGUCCCAGCAGCCGCGGUAAUACGUAGGGGGCAAGAGGUGUCCGGAAUUAUUGGGCGUAAAGGGCGCGCAGGCGGUCUUUUAAGUCUGAUUUUAAAUCUCGUAGCUUAACUACGAGCGGUCAUUGGAAACUGGAAGACUUGAGGACAGAAGAGGAGAGUGAAAUUCCACGUGUAGCGGUGAAAUGCGUAGAGAUGUGGAGGAACACCAGUGGCGAAGGCGACUCUCUGGUCUGUAACUGACGCUGAGGCGCGAAAGCGUGGGGAGCGAACA